GAGGCUGUAGCUCAGUGGUAGAGCACCUGCUUUCUAUGCGGAAGGCCCUGGGUUCAAUCCCCAGCAUCUUCA